rnacentral:rRNA from 1 species
ACUAUUGUCACGGGUUACCGCGGCUGCUGGCACGGAGUUAGCCGGUGCUUCUUCUGUGAGUGAUGUCCUUCCUGCCGGUUAUUGACCGCAGGCCUUCUUCCUCACUGAAAGUGCUUUACCAACCCGAAGGCCUUUCUUCACACACGCGGCAUGGCUGGGAUCCAGGGUUGCCCCCAUUGUCCAACUAUUCCCCACUGCUGCCUCCCGUAGGAGUCUGGGCCGUGUCUCAGUCCCAGUGUGGCUGAUCAUCCUCUCAGACCAGCUACGGAUCGUCGCCUUGGUGUAGCCGUUACCUCACCAACCAGCUAAUCCGACAUAGGCUCAUCCGAUAGCGCGAGGCCCG